rnacentral:rRNA from 1 species
CGAAUGGGGAAACCCAGUGUGUUUCGACACACUAUCAUUAACUGAAUCCAUAGGUUAAUGAGGCGAACCGGGGGAACUGAAACAUCUAAGUACCCCGAGGAAAAGAAAUCAACCGAGAUUCCCCCAGUAGCGGCGAGCGAACGGGGAGCAGCCCAGAGCCUGAAUCAGUGUGUGUGUUAGUGGAAGCGUCUGGAAAGGCGCGCGAUACAGGGUGACAGCCCCGUACACAAAAAUGCACAUACUGUGAGCUCGAUGAGUAGGGCGGGACACGUGGUAUCCUGUCUGAAUAUGGGGGGACCAUCCUCCAAGGCUAAAUACUCCUGACUGACCGAUAGUGAACCAGUACCGUGAGGGAAAGGCGAAAAGAACCCCGGCGAGGGGAGUGAAAAAGAACCUGAAACCGUGUACGUACAAGCAGUGGGAGCCUCUUUAUGGGGUGACUGCGUACCUUUUGUAUAAUGGGUCAGCGACUUAUAUUCUGUAGCAAGGUUAACCGAAUAGGGGAGCCGAAGGGAAACCGAGUCUUAACUGGGCGUUAAGUUGCAGGGUAUAGACCCGAAACCCGGUGAUCUAGCCAUGGGCAGGUUGAAGGUUGGGUAACACUAACUGGAGGACCGAACCGACUAAUGUUGAAAAAUUAGCGGAUGACUUGUGGCUGGGGGUGAAAGGCCAAUCAAACCGGGAGAUAGCUGGUUCUCCCCGAAAGCUAUUUAGGUAGCGCCUCGUGAAUUCAUCUCCGGGGGUAGAGCACUGUUUCGGCAAGGGGGUCAUCCCGACUUACCAACCCGAUGCAAACUGCGAAUACCGGAGAAUGUUAUCACGGGAGACACACGGCGGGUGCUAACGUCCGUCGUGAAGAGGGAAACAACCCAGACCGCCAGCUAAGGUCCCAAAGUCAUGGUUAAGUGGGAAACGAUGUGGGAAGGCCCAGACAGCCAGGAUGUUGGCUUAGAAGCAGCCAUCAUUUAAAGAAAGCGUAAUAGCUCACUGGUCGAGUCGGCCUGCGCGGAAGAUGUAACGGGGCUAAACCAUG